rnacentral:rRNA from 1 species
UGCGUAGGUGGUUGUGUAAGUUAUCUGUGAAAUCCCCGGGCUUAACCUGGGUUGGUCAGAUGAUACUGCAUGACUUGAGUAUAGGAGAGGAUAGUGGAAUUUCCGGUGUAGCGGUGAAAUGCGUAGAUAUCGGAAGGAACACCAGUGGCGAAGGCGGCUAUCUGGCCUAAUACUGACACUGAGGCACGAAAGCGUGGGGAGCAAACA